AUUGAACGCUGGCGGCAUGCCUUACACAUGCAAGUCGAGCGGCAGCGCGGGGGCAACCCUGGCGGCGAGCGGCGAACGGGUGAGUAAUGCAUCGGAACGUGUCCUCUUGUGGGGGAUAACCGGUCGAAAGACUGGCUAAUACCGCAUGAGCUCGAGAGAGGAAAGCGGGGGAUCCGCGAGGACCUCGCGCGAGAGGAGCGGCCGAUGUCCGAUUAGCUAGUUGGUAGGGUAACGGCCUACCAAGGCGACGAUCGGUAGCUGGUCUGAGAGGACGGCCAGCCACACUGGGACUGAGACACGGCCCAGACUCCUACGGGAGGCAGCAGUGGGGAAUUUUGGACAAUGGGCGCAAGCCUGAUCCAGCCAUGCCGCGUGUGUGAAGAAGGCCUUCGGGUUGUAAAGCACUUUCGGGCGGAACGAAAUCGCGCGGGCGAAUACCCCGCGUGGAUGACGGUACCGCAAGAAGAAGCACCGGCUAACUACGUG
rnacentral:rRNA from 1 species